GCCAUUUUGAAGUUUCCAGAAGUGAAUAUGAAGGAGAGGAGAAUCUUAAAUUAAGAAGAAAGUUCCUUUUCCCAGAGUUCUUUGCAUCACAGUUGCACAUUCUUUGAUGAAGACUGCAAGAUCUUCUGUUUCUACUUACUCCCUUAGGCUCUCACAAACCGCAACAAAAUUGACCCCUCCUAUAGACUCUGAAUUAAUUCCAAGAUGACUUACGUUAUUUUUCUCUGAGUCUGACAAAAAAAAUCGUCCCUGAGUGGUCAUGUCUCUGCUUUCUUACAGAGAAUACAGGAAAGUCACAUAGAGACCAAAAGGCCUGAGAGAAGGAAAAGAAAGGAAAAUCCUCAGAAUGAACCUGGAAGAAAUCAGGGGCAGCAAGAGGAUGAGAUGGAGACCCCGCUAGAACCAGAGAGCCUCCUUCUUCCCUCUGAACUCCUAUCUUCAAUGCCCGGGGUGCUGCCUCCCAGAUCCACCUCUUUGAGGUGCCUAGAGCACCACCAGCUGGCGACUGGUGGAAUGGCAUGAUCAGAGCCAUCUGAGUUGUCUGGCAAGGGGCUCAUACUUAACAUUCCUUAACUAUGAGAGAUUGGGUAAGUUUCCUUCUGGACCACUGCCCAACGGAGCUUUGAUGGAAAGGAGAAGGGAGAGAUGGCAGAAUAAAGAGUACCUGCCUCUACCUGCCCUCUCUUUCUCCCCUCACACUUCUCCAGAGAAAGUGCCAACAGGCAGCUGCAUGUCAGAGUCCUUCCCAGAGCAUGCUGUAACCUUUCUGUGGGUCUGCAAGCAUCCUGAGCAGACUAGAACCCCUUGGAAUGUCUGGGCACUGUGCUCUGAUCCACAGAAUAGUGAUUGGUUGAAAUGCCUGGGCACUGUGCUCUGAUCCACAGGAUAGCGAUUGAUUGGAAUGCCUGGACACUGUGCCAGAAUCCACAAGCUGGUAAUUGGCGACAAAGAAACCAAAGGCCUGGAUCACAGCGUGGUUCUCUCUGAAUCUGGGCGGAAGCCUUGUCUAGCUUCUUCUGCAUCAUUGAAUCACCUUGAGCCUAUGCUCAAACCUGGAUCACAGAAGCCUGCAGGGUAGGAAUAGUCACUGUAAUUUCUCAUGUUUAAUCCUGACUUUUAUCCAGUUCAAAAUGUACUGACUCAUUAACCUCCCAAGAAACAGCUCAGAUUUUAAAGUACCCAGGGUAGGAUAAAUGAAGAAACUUGUCAAUAUGUCUAGAUGAAAAGACAAAAUUUUUGCAUAAUUAAAAUAGGCCAAAAAACAAUUUGUGUGUGUGCCACAUAAAAUCAUGUUGUUAUAAUUAAGUUUUCUCCAACUAAAGACCUUUGAAAGAUUGGUUGGCUCUUAAUUGAAAACAGUUGAGACAGAACGUUUACAAGCAGGAAGUGAUGCUAACAUGGGGAAGAGAUGACUGGGGACUCCUUUGGCCACAAAUCACUCUGCCCACACAACCCAUUUCAGCUUUCUGGGACACAAGAGCACAUCCCCAUAGGGGACAGCACUAAGAAAGAUUUCCUUCAGCCAUGGAGAAAUGACCUGUCAGCAGCAGCAACAUGAAGUCCCCCUCCGUCCCCUCCCUGGGGCCUGGAUCCCUGUCCUCCAGCCCCUGGUCAACAGAAGUGUAACCCUCUCCGGCAUCUCCUAUGCCAAUAGCAAUGUCCAUCACCCUCCUCUUCCUGGAUAUGUGGUGGCUGGAUUCCCCUCUCAUCACAGAUUCACUUUCUUUUGAAAACCGGAACCACAGAUAUCUCAGAAGAGGCUUCUCCCUAACUCUAAUGAAACCUGAAACAUCUGCAAUAAACCAACCAGGGUCUCCUAUCUGCCACAUACACAACACAGGACACCUCUUCAAGGCUUGUGCUUCUGUAGUGAGCACCACUGCCAUGGAGAAAAGUGAACCUAAGAAGAGUAAGGGGGCCAGUAAUGGCUACACUGAGCAUGAUUGAAACAUUGGGCUAUAAGAUAUUAAUACUGCAACCAAAACAUCAAAAAGCCACCCUCAUCUGAUAUUUGGACAUUCAUUCUAAGGUAAGCAAUGCCAAAAUACACACAAGAAGUUUAAAACUGUUUCUGUGGAAGCAGGAGUAAAGCUUAGAAGGCAUCCCUGGGUUUUGUUAAAAUACUUAAGGGACAUAAGCCAGCUGGUAAUCCCAGCAAUUGAAGAGAUGAAGGCAGACCAUCCUCCACUACAUAGCGAGUCUGAGGACAACCUAGGCUACAGAACUACAUGAGACAUCUAAAGAAUGAGAGAGAGAGAGAGAGAGAGAGAGAGAGAGAGAGAGAGAGAGAGAGAGGUGUGUUUCCUUCAUUCAGGAAACAUAAAACUUUAUAAGCAAAACAAAUAGAGCAGCCAUCAGAAUUCUAGUUGAUGAGUAUUAACAAUGAAUUUUAACUGGGUGGUAGGCUGCAUAAUAAAUACUCCUGAAAGAUGUUCCAUGCUAUGCCCAAACUUAUGAACAUGUUACCUGACAUCUCAGUUAAGGAUUCAGAGAUGAGAAUAUUGAAUACAUUUG
rnacentral:lncRNA from 1 species